GCGGCUCGGGCGGUGGCGGUGGGGGGCGGGGUCUGGGCGGGGCCUGGGCGGGGCCAGGCCUGCACCGGG
rnacentral:miRNA from 1 species